UGUACCGUAGUAUAACGGAUUAACGCAUCGGCGUAUAUUGCCGAAAUCGUUAGUUCGAAUCCAAUCGGUACCC
rnacentral:tRNA from 1 species